GAUAGCGAACAAGUAGAGUGAUCGAAAGGUUAAAAGCACCUUGAAAAGGGAGUUAAACAGCACGUGAAAUUGUUGAAAGGGAAGCGCUUGCGGCCAGACUCGGGGGCGGGGUUCAGCGGGUGCUCGUCGCCCGUGUAUUCCUCGUUUCCCGGGCCAGCAUCAGUUUCGACGGCCGGUCAAAGGCCCCCGGAAUGUGUCGUCUCUCGGGACGUCUUAUAGCCGGGGGUGCAAUGCGGCCCGUCGGGACUGAGGAACGCGCUUCGGCUCGGAUGCUGGCGUAAUGGCCGUAAGCGGCCCGUCUUGAAACACGGA
rnacentral:rRNA from 1 species